AACGUAGGGUCCGAGCGUUAUCCGGAUUUACUGGGCGUAAAGCGCGUUCAGGCGGUUUGGCAAGUCGGGCAUGAAAUCUCUCGGCUCAACCGGGAGAGGUUGUCCGAUACUGCUGGACUUGAGGGCAGUAGAGGGUGGUGGAAUUCCGGGUGUAGUGGUGAAAUGCGUAGAUAUCCGGAGGAACACCAGUGGCGAAAGCGGCCACCUGGACUGCACCUGGCGCUGACACGCGAAAGCUAGGGGAGCGAACGGG
rnacentral:rRNA from 1 species